GACGAACGCUGGCGGCGUGCUUAACACAUGCAAGUCGAACGGAAAGGCCCUGCUUGCGGGGUGCUCGCGUGGCGAAAGGGGGAGUAAAACGUGGGAGUAAUGCCCUGCACUCCGGGGUAAACCUGGGAAAAUGUGGCGAAUAUAGGGUAGAGGACCUCCUUAGUCAGGGGGGUGGUAGGUUUUUUCGGUGUGGGCGGGGCUGGCGGCCUAUCUGCUUGUUGGUGGGGUAAUGGGCUGCCAAGGAGGUGACGGGGGGGCGGCCCGCGAGGGUGGACGGCCACAUUGGGACUGAGAUACGGCCCCGACCCCCACGGGGGGCAGCAGGGGGGAAUAUUGCACAAUGGGGGCGAGCCCUAUGCAGCGACGCCGCGGGGGGGAUGACGGCCUUUGGGUUGUAAACUCCUUUCGCUAGGGACGAAGCUUUUUGUGACGGUACCUAGUUAAGAAGCACCGGCUAACUACGUG
rnacentral:rRNA from 1 species